UCGUCGUCGUGCUGCUGCUGUCUGGACGGGCUGCGCCCCACCGUCACCACGUCGAUCUCCUCCUCUGCCAGACAACAAAAGGUUUGCGAGAGCUGGAGGAGCUACAAAGGCACGACGAAGCAACAGACAACUCCCAGCCCAAUGAGAAAGGCUGACUUGAGCUCAUCGGCCCAAUCCGACGACGCACAUGCGAGCGGCAUGUGAAGCCGCGGACGACACAGGACACCGUCCCAGAACAACCGCAGCCGGAUUCUGAGAACUUGAGGAACGAUCAAGGGGAGUAGGCGGGCUGGAGUGGGAGAGCCAGGGGUGACGUUGGGCUCGAGGUGCCCGGACCGGUUCCCAGUCAAUGGCAGGGGACAAGACCAGUCAAUCCCGCCUGAGGCACGUAGAGACCUCCGGGGCGCAGCGCGAGUCCUAAAUGGCAAGCUCCUAGUGCAUGAAACGUGAAACCGUGAUGAUGAAAUCGGGACCUUCCUUCGCUCAUGCCGACGCGGCUGACGUGGCGUCCGCUCGGCACGUGACGGACGAGGUCAUUUGGCGCCUCCUCCGCGUUUCCCAGCCUCGAACCCAACACGAGCGUGAAAUGGAAGUGUGCGCCUUCUUCCUGGUCAUGGAGGGAUGCGUAGUAAAACUGCAGAUGUUUGACGGUGGGCGGGCCAACAUCUGCAGCUCCGCUCCGGACGGCAUGUGCGGUGUUCAACGUCACACGCCGG